GACGAACGCUGGCGGCGUGCUUAACACAUGCAAGUCGAACGGUAAGGCCCUUCGGGGUACACGAGUGGCGAACGGGUGAGUAACACGUGGGUGAUCUGCCCUGCACUUCGGGAUAAGCCUGGGAAACUGGGUCUAAUACCGGAUAGGACUCCGGACUGCAUGGUCUGGGGUGGAAAGCUUUUGGGGUGUGGGAUGGCCCGCGGGCUAUCAGCUUGUUGGUGGGGGGAUGGCCUACCAAGGCGACGACGGGUAGCCGGCCUGAGAGGGUGACCGGCCACACUGGGACUGAGAUACGGCCCAGACUCCUACGGGAGGCAGCAGUGGGGAAUAUUGCACAAUGGGCGCAAGCCUGAUGCAGCGACGCCGCGUGAGGGAUGACGGCCUUCGGGUUGUAAACCUCUUUCAGCAUCGACGAAGCGAAAGUGACGGUAGGUGCAGAAGAAGGACCGGCCAACUACGUGCCAGCAGCCGCCGUAA
rnacentral:rRNA from 1 species